rfam:Desulfosporosinus sp. OT TOT.assembly.55, whole genome shotgun sequence.
GAACGCCGUGUGACUACGAAAGUGUCAUGCACGGUGUGGCGCAGGGGAAAAAGUGGAGAUCACAUCAAAGCUUUACCUAUUGCUAU